rnacentral:rRNA from 1 species
AUAUUGGACAAUGGGCGAAAGCCUGAUCCAGCCAUGCCGCGUGAGUGAUGAAGGCCCUAGGGUUGUAAAGUUCUUUCACCGGUGAAGAUAAUGACUGUAACCGGAUAAGAAGCCCCGGCUAACUUCUUGCCAGCAGCCGCGGUAAUACGCAGGGGGCUAGCGUUGUUCGGAAUUACUGGGCGUAAAGCGCACGUAGGCGGAUUGUUAAGUUAGGGGUGAAAUCCCGGGGCUCAACCCCGGAACUGCCUUUAAUACUGGCGAUCUAGAGUCCGAGAGAGGUGAGUGGAAUUCCGAGUGUAGAGGUGAAAUUCGUAGAUAUUCGGAGGAACACCAGUGGCGAAGGCGGCUCACUGGCUCGGUACUGACGCUGAGGUGCGAAAGCGUGGGGAGCAAAC